GCUAUAUCCCCGUAUUUUUCAAUAAAGACGCCCCUAGUAUCUGAGUGCCACUGCUUCCAAAUCCCAAUCAAGUCUUCAAGAUCAUUCUGACGCACAUUCAAGGUCACACGCUCGGGAAGAUCAGAGGUGUAUCCUUCCUUCAAACUGUCCCCUUUUGCUUUUUGAGUCCUCAAAGACCAAUCUCGGACUACAGCAUUUUUCUCGGUUACUCGUGUAAUU
rnacentral:lncRNA from 1 species